UAAUUUUUCAACGCCUGUCAGUUUGCCU
rnacentral:piRNA from 1 species